GACGAACGCUGGCGGCGUGCUUAACACAUGCAAGUCGAACGGUAAGGCCCUUCGGGGUACACGAGUGGCGAACGGGUGAGUAACACGUGGGUGAUCUGCCCUGCACUUCGGGAUAAGCCUGGGAAACUGGGUCUAAUACCGGAUAGGACCACUGCCUGCAUGGGUGGUGGUGGAAAGAUUUUGCGGUGUGGGAUGGGCCCGCGGCCUAUCAGCUUGUUGGUGGGGUGAUGGCCUACCAAGGCGACGACGGGUAGCCGGCCUGAGAGGGUGACCGGCCACACUGGGACUGAGAGACGGCCCAGACUCCUACGGGAGGCAGCAGUGGGGAAUAUUGCACAAUGGGCGCAAGCCUGAUGCAGCGACGCCGCGUGAGGGAUGACGGCCUUCGGGUUGUAAACCUCUUUCAGCACCGACGAAGCGCAAGUGACGGUAGGUGCAGAAGAAGGACCGGCCAACUACGUGCCAGCCGCCGCGGUAA
rnacentral:rRNA from 1 species